UCAGAAUCAACUUAUGUUUUCUUAAGAAU
rnacentral:piRNA from 1 species